GCAGUCCUUUAUAUGUUGGAUAUGUUGCAGUAUAUCCUAGAUACAAUAUAUGUUUGCAGAACCGAACAGUUCUCUUGUUGCAUAGGGAGAAUUGGAUUCAGAAGGUAUAAAUAACCCGGGGAGAAAAACAAAAAUGCAGAUAGUUCACAUUCGUUUCCCAGUGUUCUUUCUUUGGGUGUAGCUGCUUUUGUCCGUCAUUUAUCAAUUGAAACUCAGUUAGGUCUCUUUGUCAAAGAAAUCCCCUUCCAUCAAAA